rnacentral:rRNA from 1 species
UACGUAGGGGGCAAGCGUUGUCCGGAAUCAUUGGGCGUAAAGAGCGUGUAGGCGGCCAGAUAAGUCCGCUGUGAAAACUCGAGGCUCAACUUCGAGCUGUCGGUGGAAACUAUUUGGCUAGAGUCCGGAAGAGGAGAGUGGAAUUCCUGGUGUAGCGGUGAAAUGCGCAGAUAUCAGGAAGAACACCCGUGGCGAAGGCGGCUCUCUGGUACGGAACUGACGCUGAGACGCGAAAGCGUGGGGAGCAAACGGG